AACACCUCUCCAAAGAUUCUGUGAGCUGGACUUCUUUUGGUUCUUCUGAGUCACGCCAGAAUCCUGAUGGCCCGACCACUGACAAAGCAGCAGCAAGUGGCAAUAACUGAUGGUGGGCAUCAGGCGCUGGCCAGGUGAAAAGAUCUAAAGGUGUUCUGGUUCAGAAGAUGCAGAAUUACUACUCUCUGAAGUACUCAAAGGAACAUGUGUGACCCCUAGGUAGGAAUAUAGAAGAGGUAUUCAACUAUGUGGAUGGUCAACAUAUACGUCCUUACAGUUCUAGAAAGUGCAGGUUUGAAGAGUGUUCAAGACGUUCCAUGUACCUGGAUGAAAGGACUCUGAAGGCUGAAGAUAUUCAAGUUAACAAAAAAUACAAAUGGUUAUUUUUUUUUUUUUUGCUUUUUUUUUUUUAACAAAUGGUUAUUUGAUGGACUACUUUAAAAUACUGGGGAUAAUACAUAAAGUCCAUGCUUUGUUGAGGAAAAAAAACGGUUUAGGACAAAAUUUUAAAGUCAUUCCAUUCACUGAUGUUUUAAUACUGGUCACUGUAGAAUCUGUAAAUAAUCCAUGAAGUAUACAAUCUCAACAGCCAAAAAGUUAGUAGUACCAUUUCAUACCCUCUAAAAUUCUUUUUGGCUCAAGUCCCCAAAAUAUAUGGUAGUGAAUAUGUCAAAUGAUUUCUAUUUUUUAUCUUUUGAGAAUAUUUGGAUUUUCACCUCUGAGAAAGCAUAGAAUGUAAAAUUUCCACUUAGGGUCAAAAGAAAAUCAAGAAUUGCUGAGAGGCCCACAAAUGAUUAAGCUGCACCAAUAAAGAAUGUAUUAGAAAUAUAGAAACUUUACAUGCUAGGAGAGACUUUCCUGCUGAAUUGGGUUAACAGGUUCAGAUAAGCUUGUGGCUUAAGUACGUUCUUCACUACUUAGCUUUUUCCUUUAAGGACCCCUCCAGGUGUGUCUGCUGUGACAGCAGUUUUAGUACUUCACCAACAUAGUACCUUUUGAUUUCAUUUCAGCUGCUGUGAUUAAACAGACACACAUCACUUGCUGUGCCACAGUGAAAGAAGCUUGUGGUUCACCUUUGCUGAAUUAGUACCCACUGAGCACUGCAAAUAUUUAAAAUGUCAGUCCAUUAGAUAAUGUCAAAGAGGGCUGCAAAUACCACAAAAUGGCACCAAGGAAGCAUUCAACACAGACAAAAGAACAUUUAACACCUCUCUCCUUCAAGGUAAAAUGAGAGCUAAAUAGAAACAGUAAACCUCUGAUGAAGUUACUAAGAUCAGAAAAUUUAAUAACUGUAAGUGGGACACAGGCUUAUAACUCAUUCUUUCAGUACAUUCUCUCACAAAAAGUGUUCUAUUGCUGAUCUUAAACCCAGUGCUGUUGCAGGAGAAUUAAUUUAUAUUGACACAAGAUUAGGGAGUUCUUACAACAAAAUCCAUCUGGUGUCACUCUUAGGCAAUCUCCGGAUAGUUGUCCCAAGAGCCCAGCUUCAAGUGGAGACUUCAAAUUUCAAGUGACAUCUUUAUUUCAUGUUCAAGUAUUUAAUUCCAAAAGGCAAUAAGGGAAGACACCAUACCUGUGUGACAUUUGGAAAUGUCAGCAAAACCACAGACCACCCAGAACUUUCAUGAUCUUUCCAUAACCUGUUAUUCAACUCAAACCCAAAAUGCAACUAUGUUUUUGGAAUAUUUUUGUUUUGUUUUGAUUAUAAUUGACACACAAUGAAUAAAAUUUCAAACUUC